rnacentral:lncRNA from 1 species
AGGUUCGGCGGCUGAAUGUCCUCUCCAGAGACGAAACUCAAGCACCUUCGGCGGCACCUUCGGCGGCCGAAUCCCCCAAACAGAGCCGAACAUGCAAAAACACUCGGGGGCAAGCUGUGGCAACUAAGCUACCAUGCAGGAGGUUCGGCGGCCGAAUAAACUUUCGGCUGCCGAACCUGAGUUCAUCCAGAACUCAGCUUCAACGGCAAACCAUCUCCUUCUUUCCUUCAACUUCUCAAACCAUGCAAACGUCACCUCCUCAACAUACAUAUACUCAUGUAUAUGAUCACAGGGGUCCAAGACUAGCUAAUAACCCCAAACAACAAAACAAACAUAACACAUAAACAUAUAUACAUGCAUACCUCAUCCAAAACACUACUUCUCACUUAAACAUGCAUCUCUCUCCCUUAACUUCCAUAAAACCUUCAGAAAACUUAAAAACAUGUUCAAGAGCAUCACUUACCUCCUGUAACACGAAGAUGAAUACUCUGAACAAGAAAAAUGGACCAACUCUCCUCAAACUCUCAA